rnacentral:rRNA from 1 species
CAGUCGCCGCGGUAAUACGAAGGGGGCUAGCGUUGUUCGGAUUUACUGGGCGUAAAGGGCGCGUAGGCGGGCGAAUAAGUCAGGGGUGAAAUCCCAAGGCUCAACCUUGGAACUGCCUUUGAUACUGUUUGUCUUGAGUCCGGGAGAGGUGAGUGGAACUGCGAGUGUAGAGGUGAAAUUCGUAGAUAUUCGCAAGAACACCAGUGGCGAAGGCGGCUCACUGGCCCGGAACUGACGCUGAGGCGCGAAAGCGUGGGGAGCAAACAGGAUUAGAUACCCCUGUAGUCCCUGUCUCUUAUAC